rnacentral:lncRNA from 1 species
ACACCGUCUGCUACGAUGGCGAGCCCAUCCGCGUGGACGUAGGCGGCAAAAUCCUCUCCAAGGUCUUGCACUACUGCAAGAAGCACGCCUACUCCAACGUCUGCGACCUCAGCGCUUGGGACGCCGAGUUCGUCCGCGGCCUAGACCUCGAGACACUAUACGAUCUCAUCGUGGUGAGCUUCACUAAUUUUGUUGUUAAUUCUUUCUGUCAGACAAAAUCGAAUUAUCUACUCCCUCCGAUCUCAGCAACACUUAUUUUUGCUACGGAGGAAGUAUAUUUAAGCGACUCAAUUCUAUACUAACUUUAUACUAAAGUUAGUAUAAAGUUGAGUCACUUAUUNGGCCUAGACCUCGAGACACUAUACGAUCUCAUCGUGGUGAGCUUCACUAAUUUUGUUGUUAAUUCUUUCUGUCAGACAAAAUCGAAUUAUCUACUCCCUCCGAUCUCAGCAACACUUAUUUUUGCUACGGAGGAAGUAUAUUUAAGCGACUCAAUUCUAUACUAACUUUAUACUAAAGUUAGUAUAAAGUUGAGUCACUUAUUUUAGGACGGAGACGGUACUAUAUAUAUCAGAGAAAUUCGAUCUCGAUCUCUGCCCCCACAAAUUGAUAGAGCUUUGGCUACAGUAGUUUAUUUGUUCACUCAAAAAACAGUACUCCGUAUUUGUUAAUUUUUUAACAAAAUUGCGCAAAGAGGCGCUAGGCCUAUAUUGUUGUGCGCACAUUGCCGGGCAGAACAUGGCUGGGGAGGUAGUUCUCAGCCAGAAAAACAUAAGAAUAUCAAUAC